CACACACACACACAUCAGAGUCCAAGCCCCCUGAAAGCAGACUCCACCAGCUUUCAAAACUCAGGAAUAAUAAUGCAAACCGGCUGAACGCCUCUGAGUGAUCCACUAUUUCAUACCCCCUUGCUGGCCUCGUGCUCUCAGUGAUGAGUAUUUGGCUUUUUCCAUUUGUAGCAGAUUACUGUAACACUAUUGUAAAACAACUUCCUGCCUCCUCUGGCCAUGAUGCCAAAAAUAAAUAAAUAAAUAAAUAAACAAAAAUAGAACUGCAAAGAGGCUUUGCGCUCUGUCCCAGAGCGGGGAGAGCACAAAGGAUGGGGAAAGACGGAGACUCUCCAUCUGGAACAAAAAGAAAGUCUCUCGCCGUGUCGACACUAACCGACGCAUUUCUCAGGCUUGUUUCCGCGGACGCUGCAGCGCGGGGAGAGACGAGGGAUGGAGCUGAUACACGACAAGGUGGAGAAACUUUCUUUGUGCUCCAAGACUUCUCCUCCUCCUGCGCGCAGUCUGAAUAUGGCUGCCACCGCCGCUGACUCAGGAGGCUUGUGCUCUGUGCCUCUCGGGCCAAGGGAGCCAGAGCUGCGCCCAAAUGCUAGUGGGAGGGGGGGGAGGGUUCAGGAAAGGGGGGUCUGUUCACGGCCUCACGCCUCCCUCGCUCCUGCUGCCUGUCCUGCCCAAGCCGGCGACAUCGGCCGGAGGUGGACGGUGCCCAGGACGCAGAAGAUGGCCGGACGAGCAGAAGCAGUAAAGCGCUGUGCCUUUUUUUUUUCCUUCCCCAGAUUUUGCUCCCGUUCUGUUUUUUUUUUUGUUUGGCAUGGAGCAGGAGCCUCUUCCCGAGUGGAGUUGCUACGUCACAUCUCGCCAUGCCUCCGAACCAAUUGAAAAAUCAAGCGAUUCGAGGAACAUUAUAUACAUUCAAUCAGAGAAAAAAAAAAGACCGACAUGAAGGACACAUAAGGAAGAAAUCCCAGACGUCCCUGCUAGGCUUUCGUAGAAGUAGGUAUUUAGAAGGCUCCUCUCUUGCUCCACUGACAUCAGCUGGGCCCAGUACCCCCAGGCCCGAGGUGCCCAGUGCGCUUGAACAUCAUGGAGGUCAUCCCUUGCAGAGCUGGUAAUUCUGAACCUCUCUCUAUUUCAUGCUCCUUUGCUUCCCUGAGGUGGACCAACCACAAAACAGAAAACGCAGAAUGGCUGCUUUCGCCAGGCUUUCCUUGCUGGUGACUAUGCAUAACCACCGUGAUCUACAUGAAGUACGCGAUGAAGCCCUGAAGGACUGAGGCCUCCUUCACAAGGGGUGAAGAUAUUUUUUGGCACGUUUCCAUUAUAGUUGAUUUACAAAAAAGUAGAUAAUAAAAGUAGAUUACUGUAUUAAAUACGAUAUAAAUAAUAUUAGCCUAGACAGCUAUAUGUAUAAUGAGUGGUAUGAACGGCAGCUGUCUUUUAAAUGAGUCAAAAAUAAAGAGAGCUGAAGUCUGAA